UUAGUGGAAGCGUCUGGAAAGGCGCGCGAUACAGGGUGACAGCCCCGUACACAAAAGCGCAUGUGCUGUGAGCUCGAUGAGUAGGGCGGGACACGUGGUAUCCUGUCUGAAUAUGGGGGGACCAUCCUCCAAGGCUAAAUACUCCUGACUGACCGAUAGUGAACCAGUACCGUGAGGGAAAGGCGAAAAGAACCCCGGCGAGGGGAGUGAAAAAGAACCUGAAACCGUGUACGUACAAGCAGUGGGAGCCCCACCACUAAGCCAGUGGUGAACUCCACAUACGCAUCCUUUGCUGAGGAUACGGUUAACGGAGCGMAAGCGACGUUCAACCGCAAAAGAAGYAGAGGGGGCUUAGUGGUGGGGUGACUGCGUACCUUUUGUAUAAUGGGUCAGCGACUUAUAUUCUGUAGCAAGGUUAACCGAAUAGGGGAGCCGGAGGGAAACCGAGUCUUAAUUGGGCGUUAAGUUGCAGGGUAUAGACCCGAAACCCGGUGAUCUAGCCAUGGGCAGGUUGAAGGUUGGGUAACACUAACUGGAGGACCGAACCGACUAAUGUUGAAAAAUUAGCGGAUGACCUGUGGCUGGGGGUGAAAGGCCAAUCAAACCGGGAG
rnacentral:rRNA from 1 species